rnacentral:tRNA from 1 species
UCUCUGAUAGCUCAGUUGGUAAAGAAUCUGCCUGCAAUGCAGGAGACCCUGGUUCGAUUCCUGGGUCGGGAA